GAUGAACGCUGGCGGCGUGCCUAAUACAUGCAAGUCGAGCGAACAGAUGAGAAGCUUGCUUCUCUGAUGUUAGCGGCGGACGGGUGAGUAACACGUGGGUAACCUACCUAUAAGACUGGGAUAACUCCGGGAAACCGGGGCUAAUACCUGAUAAUAUUUUGAACCGCAUGGUUCAAUAGUGAAAGGCGGCUUCGGCUGUCACUUAUAGAUGGACCCGCGCCGUAUUAGCUAGUUGGUAAGGUAAUGGCUUACCAAGGCGACGAUACGUAGCCGACGUGAGAGGGUGAGCGGCCACACUGGAACUGAGACACGGUCCAGACUCCUACGGGAGGCAGCAGUAGUGAAUCUUCCGCAAUGGGCGAAAGCCUGACGGAGCAACGCCGCGUGAGUGAUGAAGGUUUUCGGAUCGUAAAACUCUGUUGUUAGGGAAGAACAAAUUUGUUAGUAACUGAACAAGUCUUGACGGUACCUAACCAGAAAGCCACGGCUAACUACGUGCCAGCGGCCGCCGUAA
rnacentral:rRNA from 1 species